rnacentral:lncRNA from 1 species
CCCCCACAUUUUCCCCUUUCCCUCCUUUUCCUCAACCCUUCACGCCUUUAACCCCUUUUCUUUAGAAACUUCCGCCUUUAACACCCUUCUACUAGUCCCCUCCCCCUACUUUUAGUAUUCAUCCAGUUUUAUAAAUCGGAACUGGUAAAUAGGUAAGCUUCAACUGAUUUCAUUUUCACGUUUUGAUUUUUUAUUUGGUGAGACUUUAAGUUCCCAGUUUGGGUUUGUAAAUUUUUUAGGUGUUUAUGCAGAGGGUUUUGGUGGCUUUGGAGUGAAGUGAAUCAAAUCCUAGCUGUUGAAUCUUCUGUUGUGUCUGAAUCAGACAAUUAAAAAGUAAUUUGAAUCUUUCAGAUGCCGGCGAGGUGUGUUUUAUUUUUGUUCUAGUUGCCGGAAAAAGGGUGACACAGAGGUGCAAUUUUCAUAUAUGGCCUUCCGGUGAGUUUUCCCUCUAUUUUAUUCAUUUUUUCGGAAUUUAUUUAUUUAUUUUUUUACAUAAUUACUUGUUUAUUUUGUUCCUGAUUGGCCCUUCAAUGUUCGUUCUGGAUCAUCCGAGUUUUAUUCAAAUUUCUUUUAGGAUUUUAAUUUUUUUUCCUUUGAAGGAUAUAAAUUUAUAAAACUAUUCACUUUCAGUUAUUGAAUGAAAAUGAGAGUGUGAGAUUAAUCUCACAAAAGAGUCUUCUUAAUGACUCAAAUAACACUCUUUUUUUAGCAGUAAACAAUGUUAAUUUGAUAAGAAAGAGUGUUAUUUGAGUUUCAGUUUCAAAUGUUUGUAGCUUUG